GACGAACGCUGGCGGCGUGCUUAACACAUGCAAGUCGAACGGAAGGGCCCUGCUUUUGUGGGGUGCUCGAGUGGCGAACGGGUGAGUAACAUGUGAGUAACCUGCCCUUGACUUUGGGAUAACUUCAGGAAACUGGGGCUAAUACCGGAUAGGAGCUCCUGCUGCAUGGUGGGGGUUGGAAAGUUUCGGCGGUUGGGGAUGGACUCGCGGCUUACCAGCUUGUUGGUGGGGUAGUGGCUUACCAAGGCUUUGACGGGUAGCCGGCCUGAGAGGGUGACCGGCCACAUUGGGACUGAGAUACGGCCCAGACUCCUACGGGAGGCAGCAGUGGGGAAUAUUGCACAAUGGGCGGAAGCCUGAUGCAGCAACGCCGCGUGCGGGAUGACGGCCUUCGGGUUGUAAACCGCUUUCGCCUGUGACGAAGCGUGAGUGACGGUAAUGGGUAAAGAAGCACCGGCUAACUACGUG
rnacentral:rRNA from 1 species